rnacentral:rRNA from 1 species
GAUGAACGCUAGCGAUAGGCCUAACACAUGCAAGUCGAGGGGCAGCAUAGAGUAGCAAUACUUUGAUGGCGACCGGCGCACGGGUGAGUAACACGUAUGCAACCUACCUACAUCAGGGGAAUAACCCGGAGAAAUUCGGACUAAUACCGCAUAAUACAGGGAUGCCGCAUGGCAAUAUUUGUUUAAGAUUUAUCGGAUGUAGAUGGGCAUGCGUUCAAUUAGCUUGUUGGUGAGGUAACGGCUCACCAAGGCAACGAUGGAUAGGGGAACUGAGAGGUUUGUCCCCCACACUGGAACUGAGACACGGACCAGACUCCUACGGGAGGCAGCAGUGAGGAAUAUUGGUCAAUGGACGAGAGUCUGAACCAGCCAAAUCGCGUGAAGGAAGACUGCCCUACGGGUUGUAAACUUCUUUUGUACAGGAAUAAAAGACAUUACGUGUAAUGUAUUGCAUGUACUGUACGAAUAAGCAUCGGCUAACUCCGUGCCAGCCGCCGCAGUAA